AACGAACGUUAGCGGCGCGCUUAACACAUGCAAGUCGCACGAGAAAGGGCUUCGGCCCCGGUAAAGUAGGCGCACGGGUGGAGUAACACGUGGAUAACCUACCCUCGAGCAGGGGAGUAACAUCCCGAAACGGGGUGGCUAAUACCGCAUAAGACCACGGCUUCGAAAGGAGCUGAGGUAAAAGACUGGCCUCUAUAUAUAAGCUAGCGCUUGAGGACGGGUCCGCGGCGCAUCAGGUAGUUGGCGGGGUAAGUGGCCCGACCAAGCCUAAGACGCGUAGCUGGUCUGAGAGGAUGAUCAGCCACACUGGAACUGAGACACGGUCCAGACUCCUACGGGAGGCAGCAGUGGGGGAAUCUUGCGCAAUGGACGAAAGUCUGACGCAGCGACGCCGCGUGUGUGAUGAAGGCCUUC
rnacentral:rRNA from 1 species